rnacentral:rRNA from 1 species
CCCUUAGAUGUUCUGGGCCGCACGCGCGCUACAAUGGCAGACUCAGUGAGUUACCUCUGUCGAAAGGCACAGGGAAUCUUUACAGUAUCUGCCGUGAUGGGGAUAGACCCUUGUAAUUUUUGGUCUUCAACGAGGAAUUCCUAGUAAACGCAAGUCAUUAACUUGCAUUGAUUACGUCCCUGCCCUUUGUACACACCGCCCGUCGCACCUACCGAUUGAAUGGUCCGGUGAAGUCCUCGGACCCAGUUGAACCUCGAGUUGAACAGGGAAAGUUGACUAAAUCUUACCAUUUAGAGGAAGGUGAAGUCGUAACA